UACGAGUGCCUCAAGCGUUGUCCGGAAUCAUUGGGCGUAAAGGGUGUGUAGGCGGCGCGGGAAGUCAACGGUGAAAACUCGGAGCUCAACUCCGAGCCUGCGUUCGAUACUGGACGGCUAGAGUCUGGUAGGGGGAUCUGGAAUUCCUGGUGUAGCGGUGGAAUGCGCAGAUAUCAGGAGGAACACCGGUGGCGAAGGCGGGAUCCUGGGCCAGUACUGACGCUGAGGAGCGAAAGCGUGGGGAGCAAACAGG
rnacentral:rRNA from 1 species